ensembl:lncRNA PURPL p53 upregulated regulator of p53 levels
AUCAAUGUGUGAGGUGGUGCUAUGUAGCAGGAACCCCUCUUGCUUUGCAAAUAGUUUUUUGUUUGUUUUCCUUUUUGCCCAAUAGAGCCCUGCUCUACUGACCCUUCAAUGUGCCCGUGUGCCUAAAUAUUCCUGGUCGUGUGAAAAGAACCCAGCAGUCAAGCUCAACUUGCAGAACUGAUGGGAACCCCUUGGGAAAACUGGCCUCAAAUGUUUGUCUACACAGUCCACAUACAGGGUUCUUAACCUGCGACUGACCCUGCUUGUGCCUGUGAACCAACCAACAAUCUCUGGCUGCAGCUCAGAAAGGACAAAAGAGAAUGGGAAACACUUUCUGAAAAUGUCAGAACUCUUGAAAACAUGGAUGAGGAAAAGCAUAAGUACUGCUUUAUGCUUUUCUUAUGAAUUUUAAAAGAUGUAAUUUAAAGGUACUUUAAAGUGAUAUUUGUGCCCUUGUAACUGAUUCAAAGUAGACUGCUAAGGACAAUAAGUAAUAAGAGUCUACAAAUAUCAGUAAAUUAUGAGAAAAAACGGUCUAAUGGUACUUAAAAUUGCAUUGUGAUUUAUUAAAUAACAUUGAACAGCUCCACCUGUAACAUUAAGAUUCCAUUUGAGCAUAUAGAAAAUAUAUUUAUCGCAACCUGAAGUGAUUUGGAAAGUAUGCUGGGAAGAAAAUAUAUUUACAAAUUAGUCUCAGAGGGUAGGUAUCCUGUAGCCAGAUGGAAUAAGAAGAGAGGGAAGGGAGAUUUUGUUCAAAGGGGGAGCAUAAGCUAAGGAAUAAAGCCACAAACAAUGAUUAAAUUAGGUAAAGUGCAAUUAGCUGAAUAUUGCAUAAGCAUACAUAUGGGAAGAAGUGGAAAAAGGAGUGACAAUAUGAAGCUAAAGGGUUUGAAGUGUUCAAGAUAAUACUAGGCUUCCUAGCCUAUUCCGAGACAUCUUGUUUUAGAGUGCAAUAGAUAAGAACUCUAAGGAUGAAAGUAGGAGACAUGCAUUCUAGUCUACGUUUUGGUUAAUGGACUGAAAGUGAAAGAUGGACUGAAAUUGGGGGAUGGAAUAAAAAUGUGAUAGAAUAGAAAAUAGAAAAAGCAAUUAGCCUAAUGUCAUUGAUACUUAGAGAAAAUAUGGAAAAUAGUAAAUUAGUGAUAUAUAUCUUUUCUAAUUCACCAGGGUGAGUGAACAAAGGAAAUCGGAUUUAAAAGUAUUCAUGACAUAGAUGCAAUAAGGUUUCUCAGUCAGACAUAGCAAAUUGAGGGAAGGGAAGAUUUAGAGGAUUGGAAAAUGUCUUGCUUGUAGACUAAUAGGAUAUCAAUAAGCCAUAUGAGCAAUAAUUUGAAAUAGUUUUUGUAAAGUAUCAUGAAGGUAAACCCUGUUUAGAACAAAUUAGAUUUGAAGUACUUGUGACAAAUGCAAUUGACAAUGCCUUUAUGCAGCUGGAAAAUUGUUGCUUAGCAGAAAAGCUUGUGCUGGACAAAUAGAUGUCCAAAUUGAAUAGAUGUUUUCUUAAGCUGAACUAAUUGAGACAAAUAUCCUUAUUAAAUCAAAAAAUUAAAAAUUGAAAUAACUUACCUAUGAUAGGGUAAAUAAUGUUAUUAAUAUACACAAGAAAUAUGUGAUGUAUAUGUGUAUGUACAUAUGUAUACAUAGUAAUAAUACAUAGUGCUAUUUUUAAAUGAUAUUUUACAUAGUGCUUUUUUAAAUGAUUUUUCAAUCAUCGUUGUUGGUCUGUGUUAUUUUAAUCAUCAAAGCUGAUUGAUUUCUGUUUUUGUGUUUUUUUUUGUUUUUUUUGAGGUGGAGUCUCACUCUGUCACCCAUGGUGGAGUACAGUAGUGCGGUCUUAGCUCACUACAAACUCCACUUCCCUGAUUCAAGUAAUUCUUGUGCCUCAGCCUCUCGAGUAGCUUGGAUUGCAGGCAUGCACCACCACGAGCUGCUAAAUUUUUUGUAUUUUUUGUAGAGGGGUUUUGCCAUGUUGGCCAAGCUGGUCUCAAACUCCUGACCUCAAGUGAUCCGCCCUGGCUUCCCAAGCCCAGCUGAUUCCUGUUUAAAUAAAAACUUACAAAGAUCUUCCCACAAGUACUUUAUCUUACAAUUUACUGAACAAUAGAGGCAGUGAAGAUGUUUUUCAGAAAGCAAUUGUGAUCCUGACAUUUUCUUCUUAUAAUCCUGUGCUUUCCUCAUUUUUUUAUAUUAAAAGUAAUAGUUCUUGUGAUGGCAACUAGGAUUUGUAACAACAUGUACCCUCAUUUCCUGCAUGACCUUUUUUAUGUCACUUCUUCACAUGCAAAGUAUACUCCCUCAGUGUCAUUACAUUAUUUGAUUUUUGCCCUUUCCCUCACCUUUCCAUGUGUUUAUUUGCCUAUGCCCAUCUCCUAGUCACAUUUUAUCUAGUUAACGCCAACUUGACUUUCAAUGCUGUUCAAGAUUUACCUCAAUCUCAAGUGUUUUCUCUUUAUAUUCCAUACACGCUUAGCUUGGCUGCCAAUCCUCUUGGCUGCCAAAGAAUCCCAAAUUAUCUCUUUCAAAAAUACAAGAAAUAAAGGAUGGAGGAUAGGAAGGAGGGUGGUCAGGAAAGAACAAAGAAAGGAGGGGAGAGGAAAAAAAGAGAGAAAGAAAGAGAAUUAAAGUUAAGGAGGAAGAAUUUCACACUGAAUUAAAAUUGAUAAUAUUCAGGAAUGAUUUUAUAGUAGGCAUACAUUGAUAAAUAUUAGUUAAAUUAAUGAAUUAUUCCAAAAGAUCAUGAUUUGUAAAAAUUACCCUGAAGCACUUUAGGAAUAUUACAUUGAAAUAGGUAUGCAAUUUCUAAAGAAACUGGACUGCAAAAAUAGCCAUUGUGUGUACCUGUGGACCAGAAUAUUAUAUUUUGCUUAAGUUUGAAGUGUUAAAGUGCCCAACGUGCUCUUAUUUUAACCUAGCAAAUUUUCAGCAGAACUUAAGCUCAUAUAGUAUUUGAUUUUUUCAUUUCUCACAACUGUUGGAAUUCUGUUUUAUUGAAAAUUAUACAAUAAAAUGUUAAAAAAUCUUUGUUCCUGCAGUUAUGCAAUCUUAUGCCAAAGUCAAUAAAUUAUUAAAUUAAAAUCAAACCCACUAAGCCUAACAAUUUGAGAAAAUGAUUAUUAAAACAUAUACCAUUUAGAAGGGCAAUGCCUUUUUAAUAUUAUAGUGAAGACAACCCUAUCAAUUAUUUAAUACACCAAGAAUACAAGGAUAUAAAAUCUUUUUCUCUCAUAUAUCACAUUAUCUGAUGUAUUUAGCUGUGAUGACAUUCCAGAAAACAUCACUUUUUAAAAUUUCUAAGAUUUUAUUAUGUUGCUAGCAAAUCGAUUUUUUUCAAGUACUGUAACAAAAUCCCUAAAUGGGCUUUAUGAGAACUAUUUUCAGUGUGAUAUUAAUCAUAUUUUAUUUAUCAUCCAUACAUAGAUGGUAGCUUAUCUGGUAUUCCUAGUGUUUGAAGUGAAGAGUAACACACACACACAUCCCAAUACCAAUUUAAUUGAUAAAUAUAUAAUCAUUUGUUUUCAAAUAUUUAUGUUGAUACUUGCUUGUGUACUUACUUGUAAUGUAGGUCUGUAAAAGGGACUGUUUUCUUUCUGUGAAACUGAAGCUUAAAGCAGUGCUUGUCACAAAUUCAAAAUCACCUUGCUUUGUCAACAUUUUCAGAUGUUUUUGGCUCAGUCUGAUGACAGCAUCAGUGCAGUAAAGGGAUCUUAUUGAAAUGUUUUAACUAAAGAUAAAAUGCCACCACUAGGAGAAAAAUAAAAUCAAGGAAAUAAACAGAAAAUCAAUAAAUGUGAAAUGUAUUAUAAAUUUAUAUAAUAACAAUGUUGUAUGCUAUAAACAUCUCACUUUGUAAAAUUAACAAGAAUUCAGUGAGGCAGAUCAUUUUCUAUGUGUUCAGAAGUCAAGUCUUUGAUGGCUAAUUUUUAUAUUACUUCAUUACAAUAUCUCUACUGAAGCAAAAUAAUUGCAAAUCUUUUUGAAUGAAAUCAAUUUAUCUUUAAUUUUAGAUAAUAUUUGGUAUAGUUGGCAUAGUUUUGUCACAAAGCAUAGCUAACAUCAAUGUAGCCUUACGACUUCAAAUGUCUUUAUAGAUCUUUUCUGAAAUUGCAAAAUUUUACUUUGAAAUUAUUGUUAAUAUUUACGUUGCACAACCACAAAUGUAGAAAUAAAAUUAUAAAGUCUCCAGAUAAUGUUUUAUUUUAACCACACAUAUGUUGUGAUAGUUUCAAAUAAAUGAAAGCUCUAC